rnacentral:misc_RNA from 1 species
AACGCACAUUGCGCCCGCCAGCACUCUGGCGGGCAUGCCUGUCCGAGCGUCACUAGCAACCACUCAGCGCCCCCCCGGGGGUGCUGGCGUUGGGGAUCGGCCGCCCGCGGCGGCGCCCGUCCCCCAAAUCCAGUGGCGGCCCGGCGCGAGCUCCCCUGCGCAGUAGCGAUGCGACGCAGAGGGUGACGCGCCGGCGCCCGCCGUGAAACCCCCCAACUCUUCAGGUUGACCUCGGAUCAGGUAGGACUACCCGCUGAACUUAA